CAAAACCUCAUUUCUCAACUCUAAACCCUAAACCCUAAACCUUAAAUUCUAAACCCUAAAUCCUAAACCCUAAACCCUAAACCCUAAAAUCUAAACCCUAAACCCUAAACCCUAAACCAUAAACUCUAAACCCUAAACCCUAAACCCUAAACCCUAAACCCUAAACCCUAAACCCCACCCUUUAAUUCUAAACCCUAAGUUUGUGAUAAAACAUUAAAUGCUAUUUUUGUGACUUUUGAUCUUAAGUGCUAGUUUGGGAACA
rnacentral:lncRNA from 1 species